CCGGUGGUUCUGUGUGGAAGGGCCAUCGCUCAAAGGAUAAAAGGUACGCCGGGGAUAACAGGCUGAUCUCCCCCAAGAGCUCACAUCGACGGGGAGGUUUGGCACCUCGAUGUCGGCUCAUCACAUCCUGGGGCUGAAGCAGGUCCCAAGGGUACGGCUGUUCGCCGUUUAAAGUGGUACGCGAGCUGGGUUCAGAACGUCGUGAGACAGUUCGGUCCCUAUCUGCCGUGGGCGUUGGAUGAUUGAGGAGAGUUGCCCCUAGUACGAGAGGACCGGGGUGAACGAACCACUAGUGCACCAAUUGUUCUGCCAAGAGCAUAGUUGGGUAGCUACGUUCGGAUGAGAUAACCGCUGAAGGCAUCUAAGCGGGAAGCCAACUCCAAGAUUAAUCAUCCCUGAAGAUUCCAAGAAGACUACUUGGUUGAUAGGCUGGGUGUGUAAGCGAUGUAAGUCGUUUAGCUGACCAGUACUAAUAAAUCGUUUGUUUUUUACUUUAUCUUCUU
rnacentral:rRNA from 1 species